rnacentral:rRNA from 1 species
UGGGGAAUAUUGGACAAUGGGGGGAACCCUGAUCCAGCCAUGCCGCGUGUGUGAAGAAGGCCUUAUGGUUGUAAAGCACUUUAAGCGAGGAGGAGGGUACUGGUAUUAAUACUACCAGGUACUGGACGUUACUCGCAGAAUAAGCACCGGCUAACUCUGUGCCAGCAGCCGCGGUAAUACAGAGGGUGCGAGCGUUAAUCGGAUUUACUGGGCGUAAAGCGUGCGUAGGCGGCUAAUUGAGUCGGAUGUGAAAUCCCCGAGCGUAACUUGGGAAUUGCAUUCGAUACUGGUUAGCUAGAGUGUGGGAGAGGAUGGUAGAAUUCCAGGUGUAGCGGUGAAAUGCGUAGAUAUAGGAAGGAACACCAGUGGCGAAGGCGACCACCUGGGCUCAUACUGACACUGAGGUGCGAAAGCGUGGGGAGCAAACAGG